UAUGAAUCAGGAAGCGGCCUCUCAUCAGACACUGAAUCUGCUGGUGACUUGAUCUUGGACUUAGCCUCCAGAACUUAAUCACACAUGCCUGGCUGACCUUCUGGGUUACUGUGAAGACCAAAGGAGAUAACGACCGUGAAAAUGCUUUGAAAACUCUCAGGGAACACAGGUUCGAGCCCUGGUCCUGGAAGAUACCAGAUGCCUCGGAGCAACUAAGCCCGUGCGCCACAGCUACUGAGCAUGCGCACCCUAGAGCCCGUGCUCCGCAACAAGAGAAGCCACCGCAAUGAGAAGCCUGCACACCGCAACGAGAAGCCCGCGCACCGCAACGAACAGCAGCCCCCGCUCGCCGCAACUAGAGAAAGCCCGUGAGCAGCAAUGAAGACCCAACAAAGUCA